rnacentral:ncRNA from 1 species
UUCCUUCGGGGCAGGGUGAAAAUCCCGACCGGCGGUGAUGAGACUAUGUCUCUUAGUCCGUGACCCGGUUCGAUAUCGAGCCGGUGGAUUUGGUGCAAUUCCAAAGCCGACAGUGAAAGUCUGGAUGGGAGAAGGAA